GAGGAAAAAGAAACAAAUAACUGCAUCACUUUAAUGCGAUGUGAUUGCAAAGACAGACCCAGCAAUAAGCUAGGAGCAAAGGCAAAGAGCCAGUUUACUGUGGGUUUAUGUAAGUAGACCAUCAUGCAAGCCCUGUAAGAGAAAUGGAGUAAUCAAAAUAGCACAAGACAAUGAAUGGAGUGUUGAUACUCCCUGGGUGGGAUUAUUCUGCACCAAUUCAUUUUGCUACGUCUACUGUAGGAAAGGAUAUCAAGGUAGAUAAUGUAUGGUAGAUGAAGUCCUAAAGAAAUGAGAAGCUAUUCUAUAAGCUUGAUUUACUGGAAGAGAUGUAAUCUUUACAGACUACAGUGAAUUUCUUAACAUGAAAAAAAUAACCUUUAAAAACUAUCACAUUACUGACAUCUUAUUAAAUGUUCCUGUAGCAAAUAAGAUAAACAAGGCAUUCAGUGAACCAGACUAGGGACAGGUAAUAGCUACUUAAUGGAAAGCAAAGAUACAAGUUUAGGUCCUUCACACACUAUGUUAAUUAAACAGCAGGUGUGCUUCAAGAUCUGGCAAGUUAAAGCUACUUCAGAACAGUUGCUUCAGAUACUCCCUGUCUUCUACCAGAAAGACUUUGGUCUCUAUUUCAUUUUCCUGUAUCAAGUAGUCUGUUCUGUUAAUUGACUUUGUUUGCCCUGCAUGGUAUUUCUUCUGACAGAAUAAGUGUGCCAGGUCUCCUACACCAUUUCCCAACAGUACUAAUGUAUGACCAAAAUUAAGCUAGGAAAUGGUUUUGCUCCGCUUUAUAACUUUGCCAUAUUUUUCAUGUAUAUGAAGUUUUGUGAUAUUUUAAGUUCUUUUACUCAAAGUCAGCAAGUAUCUGAUCUAAUUCAGACCAAGGGCUCCCAGCUGAAGCUUACUGUUCCACAUACUUAGUUUCUCAUAUGAUACCAUAGGGACUCUACUGAGGAACACACAGUUGAGACUUGAAAUGUGCAGAUAUUAAUUCACAUUUCAACUUAAUACCCUAUUUUCAUUGAAAUCCAAAUUUCAGUCUUGUACAGGUCCCCAAGGCAUUUGUGAUUUGUGGAAUGUCCAGUUCCUGACAUAGCACCAUAAAAAUCACCACAGUAUCACCAAGUAGUGCAAUGCUAGGUUAACCUUUAACAAAGGGGUUGUUGUGCUUUUGGGAAGCUCUGUUUCUUUCUCAUCAGUUCUCCAGUUUCUUGCUGAUCUGAUCUAUGUGCACUCAAGUUCCUGUCAUGCAGGGAAGCUCAGAACUCCCUUCUUCUGUCCUGCAGUGGAACAUCUCCUCCUGCCUCAGAGACAUUCCUCCCUGGUGCAUGACUCAUCUGUGGCAGCUCUUCUCCAGCACUUUCCAGGAGAUGAGAGUAAUCCCCCAUUUCUGGAGAGGAAAGAGGCACAGGGUGCUGAGGCAAGUCCCACACAUGGGACUUAUGCACAAACUGCACUAGAACAUAUCCAGUAAUUUUGGUACUGUACACACGUGGAUUCACAACAGUAGUGUGGUAUCAUUGUGUUGCAGAUCACUGAACAAGAUGAAUGCUUAACACAGAUUACCUUGUGCUGAUUGCCUGGAUAUUUUACUUACUGAAACUGUAAAUACUUUAUUUUUUGAGGAUUCAAGACAGAUGGGUAUGUGAUAUCUUAAUGCUAACUUUUGCAGCAGUGAAAUGAAAUCUAUUAAUAUGCUAUUCACGUUGAGGGUUGUUUGUAGGCUUCUCUAAGAUCUGAUGAUUACUACUGCUAGGAGUAUUUAGACAUAUAUUAGACUUCUGUAAACAAAAUAUAGACCUCUAAUGAGGAAAAAAAUAUUUUACUUUACAAAAAAAAGUUGGUAGGUAGCUUGAAUAUUGCUGAAAAAGUUAUUGAAUAUGUUCCUAGCAGCUAAGAUGCUAUCAAAAUAUAAGCAAAGUGAAAUUAAUCCUAAAUUUUUGAAUACAUAUGUAUAAGAUAACAUUCUCACUCUAUCCAAAGGGACGUAUCUCUGAAAUUGUCUGACAACAAGAGCUACUUUUGAACAGAUUAAUCUAAAUACACGUAUCCAAGUAGAGAAAAGCCAAACUAGGUACCCUAGAUUUUCAGAGUUAACUUUCAUUUCACAUAGUUUCUUGGAGAAAAAGGAGAACCUCAGGUGUUGCAUUAGGCCUUUUCACAAACACUGAUAUUUAAACACCAGAAAACUGUGUGGUUUUUUUUUUUUUCCUGCUCUGCUCUGUGCUAAUGAUAUGAUUUUUAGCCUCAUAGUGCCUGUUAAAAUGAAAUUAUACAGACUUAGAAUUAUCUCUUCUAACAGGAGACAAGGCAAAACAUAUCAGAGCCAACGGGAAUGCAUGCAGUUUAGGGAUUUUGUUGUUUUACAGAUCAUAAUAUUCUCAUAAUACAAGAGAGAUUACGGAAAUAUGGCAUAGUCUUAUUUUGUCUGACAUGGUAAAGAAAGAAAGAUUUAAAGGAUUAGUCUUGAUGACUUAGCUGUUCCUUUGCAAUGUAUUGUGAUAUAAUAAGAAAUAAUGCAGUGCAUAUCCUGAACAUAAAAGAGAGCCUCUGGUCAGAAUCUCGUUAAUGCCAGAAAUGAUUUAAAGCUAGCUAGCAGUCCCAGUUUUCUGUCCCAGAAAUGACAACACAAGACGUGACACCUCUUAUUCUAAUACUACAUAAGAGCAUAUCACGCAUACGAUUAAGAUAUCAUUCAAGAAAACUAAUUCCUUUGUAUUCACUUUUCUUCGUUGUUAGAAUCCUGAGGACAGUACCAGAAAGCAGGGUUAGGUUUUAGGUGGAAGCUUCUACUUUGACAAGAAAUGAAACUGCCUUCUUUCUUUUCCUAGUUCUUUGCUUUUUGAGAGGGAUAGGCUAAAGACGCAAAGUGGUAGAACUGUUUUUCACUCAAGUCAGCUAAGUGCCCCAUUUACACAUUCAUUAGACAUAAAGCUUCACUCACUGUGCUAACAAAUCACCAUAAUGAAGUCUUUACACACCCACACACAUUUAUACACAUGCUGUUGCUCAGCUUGCACCUGCAAUGUUGGUGAAUAGAUGUGUAAUUGUAUAUUUACGUUGCUGAAAGAACAGUUAGCUACUAGGCAAGGUCUAUAUAGCUACAGUAAGUAAAGCUUCUUCUUUUUUUUUUUCUCUACAUUGCUAUCGUUGACAACUUUUUGGAAGCUGCUUUAUGGCAUAAAUCAAACCAUGCUGUUACACAACUCUGGAAGACUUUUCCAAGGAGCCUGUAGCACCUCCAUUCGGGUUGGCAUUUAGUCAUGAAUGCACUGGGCACCUGGUCCUGGGCUUCUGUCUCUUGUGGAGUCAGAGAUACAGGAGCUAAAAGCUCCUAAUAAGCUGAAAGCAAAGGGAAGUGCUAGAGAGCAGAAGUUUAAACACAGUCUUACGGCUAAAGGAAGUUGUUUAGAAGGGGUCAAAAACUGCUACUAGAAGAGUUUCCUGAAAAUAAUAGCAUAUGCUAAAAUCUUCAAAAUCGGUCAUGUUUGUGUUGCUAAUAGCAAUACUGCAUUUUUUGCUUUGAGCUUUUCAGUCAGAUAUUACACUAACAGGAUACCACAAAUCAGUAACCCCAUUCUCCGAGGGGCUACAUCAAUAUAUAUAAGCAUAUAACAAAACAGCCAACAUUUGAAGUGGCACAAAUAACCCAUCCCAAUGAUGUGACUAAGCCUCAUGGGAUGGACAAUUUCACUGCCAUUGCAUAUGGAAUUCUUAUUCUGUAAACAGCAGAAUUUCAGUCCUUUUGGGAAUAGUGCAGUUACUUGAAGCACGCACACAGUGUGCAGUUUGUUAGUCCAUUAUAUACACUUUGUUUACUAAACAACAAGAGAUUUGAUGAAAUGAUCAGGAGACAGAAGUAGAAUUUUUCAGCUAUUCAUAACUUUGUGGCUGAUUUAACCAUUCACCUAGAAUUGUAAUGCAAUUUUAUACUGAAUUUUCAAAACGUUUAAGCACACAAUCACAUAGCUCCAACCAAGUUAUUGUAUUUGUAACUGACUACUCAACUGCUUAAGCAGAUGGGGGGAAUAAGGCUUUUGUUUAAACAGGGGGGGAUAAGGCUUUUGUUUAAACAAAGACUAACUCUUAAUGUAUUUGAUUAGUUUGGGCUGUCAUAUUUACCAGAAAUAUAGAAAAUUUAGACAGUGAAUGUUGAAAAAUCCCAUUAUCUGUCGUCGUGGUCCUUCUUGAGAAACCACCUGUGGAUGAUCCUACUUCCUACGCAAUCAGUAGCAUAGAGGUCAGAAUUUGGCCAGAUUGCUGUUUCUCCCUCAAGUUUUUUUUUUUUUUUUUCCCUUUUAAUUAUCUGAGUUUUUCUUUGUUAGUUUUAUUUUGUUGUUGUUUUUAAGCCUAGGUAAGUCCAGCUACUGGACUAUUACCCUAUAUCCCUGUUCUAUACAUUGUUUUCAGUUUCCCAGGAGUCACUUCAUAUACUCUUUGCCACAAUGGCUUUUAGCAUGUCUAACUCUCUGGAUUGGAAUGGUUAAAAAAGGUUAUCCUACCAUGGUUCAAACAGGGAGUGUUUCCCUGGCGCUGCAUGUCCCUAGGGUGUGAUCACCUUCAUAGAGCAGAAGAUGAUGACAAAUUCUUCUCAUACCCAUUUACAAAGGGCUACAUUUUAGUUUGAGUGGCACUCAGC
rnacentral:lncRNA from 1 species